UACGACCAGGGCUACACACGUGCUACAAUGGCAUAUACAAAGAGAAGCGACCUCGCGAGAGCAAGCGGACCUCAUAAAGUAUGUCGUAGUCCGGAUUGGAGUCUGCAACUCGACUCCAUGAAGUCGGAAUCGCUAGUAAUCGUAGAUCAGAAUGCUACGGUGAAUACGUUCCCGGGCCUUGUACACACCGCCCGUCACACCAUGGGAGUGGGUUGCAAAAGAAGUAGGUAGCUUAACCUUCGGGAGGGCGCUUACCACUUUGUGAUUCAUGACUGGGGUGAAGUCGUAACAAGGUAACCGUAGGGGAACCUGCGGUUGGAUCACCUCCUU
rnacentral:rRNA from 1 species